rnacentral:lncRNA from 1 species
AGCAGCGCGAGACCCUCGCCAGGCUCUGAAGACGCGGCCUGGCCCUGGCCGUUCGGCCCUUCGUCUGAGCGCAAAGGCUCCAGCACCUCCGCGGCCGAAGCCGCGGGACUUUUCGUGGAAAAUGGGACCCAGCCCGAUCGCCAGCGGCGCUGCAGCGGACUCUGCGGGAACCUAGCUUCUGCUCCAGGACCUCCAGGGCCACCCCAGCUCGCAGGGCGUUCGCAGCGGCUCAGGGCGAAUCACGCUCAUGGUCCCCGUGCGCAUUUUCAGCCCCAGCCGGUACCUCCUUACUCGCCCUCACGACAUUCAUUCCACCCCCUAAAGGUCCUGCCAACCCCAGGCUCUUCCCGAGCAUUCCCGCCCUUCCUCCCUUUUGAAACCGGAGCAAAUCACGGCCGGGCGGAAGCGGGGGAGCCCGGGUGAGAGUCAGUGACUCAGCUGCGGACUCCAAGUGUCGCCGGAGGCCCUGGGGCGCAGGCCCAGCGGGCUGUCGCACAGCUCGGCUGUCCUGUGCCCCUUCCUGACGAGGCUGGGGAGGAAAGGCGGCCCAGAGAAGGCCGGACCAGCUCUCCCCGUCAGCCCCAGGCUCUCGAAUGACAGCGGAUGCCAGCGACCGGGGAUGGGGUCCCGGAAUUGCUGGGUUAAACAAGCUCCGGAUUCAGGCCUGGGCCUGGGCUGGGGUUCCAGGGUUCUGGACCGCCCUCAAAGAAGGAGCUCCCUGGGGCGGCACCUGGCUCUGCUUGAUAGCCCCAGGGACAGGGAGCUCACUACCUAUCAGGGCAGCUCCCCCAGUGCCGAGACCAGCUCGGUCCUGGAGACCCUAACCCAGCGGUGCUAGAGGAAUUAAAGAUACACACAGAAAUAUAGAGGUGUGGAGUGGGAAAUCAGGCGUCUCACAGCCUUCAGAGCUGAGAGCCUCCAACAGAGAUUUACCCACGUGUUUAUUCACAGCAAGCCAGUGAUAAGCACAGUUUCUACAGAUUAUAGAUUAAAAGUACCCCUUAGGGAAACAAAGGGAUGGGCCAAAAUAAAGGGGUGGGUUUGGCUAGUUAUCUGCAGCAGGGGCAUGUCCUUAAGUCACAGAUGGCUCAUGCUAUUGUUUGUGGUUUAAGAACGCCUUUAAGCGGUUUUCUGCCCUGGGUGGGCCAGGUGUUCCUUGCCCUUAUUCCGGUAAACCCACAACCUCCCAGCGUGGGCAUCAUGGCCAUCAUGAACAUGUUACAGUGCUGCAGAGAUUUUGUUUAUGGCCAGAUUUUGGGGGCCUAUUCCCAACACCCUAGCAUUGCUCACACUUGUCCCUGAAGUGUCACCUUGUCGUAGCUGGGCUCUGAGCCCUCUGCCCCAGGGAGGGGUGGCCUUUUGGGCUGAAGGGACUGAGGACAUAGCCGUUGAGCCUGUUGGCCAUUGCUCAAAGAAUGCAGCCUCCUGGUCACCCAUGUUGUCCCCUUGCCAACAAAAAGAGUGAAACACUGUGCAAUGUUUGAAGAGAUUUAUUCUGAGCCAAAUCUAAGUGACUGUGGCCUGUCACACGGCCUCAGAAGAUCCUGAGAACUUGUACCCAGAGUGGUCAGCCUGCAACUGGGUUUUACAAAUUUUAGGGAGACAUAAGACAUCAAUGAAUACUUGCAGGAUGGACAUUGGUUUGGUCCAGAAAGGUGGGGACAACUGGAAGUGACAGAGGGACUUCUAGGUCAUAGGCAGAUUCAAAGAUUUUCUGAUUGGCAAUUGAUUGAAAGAGUUAAGUUGACCGGGCAUGGUGGGCCAUUUCUAUAAUCCUUGCCAUGGGGAGGCUGAGGACCAUUUGAGCCCAGGAGUUAGAUACCAGCUUGGGCAACAUAGAGAGACCUCACUUCUCCAAAAAAAAAAAAAAAAAAAAAGUUAUUUUUUAAAGACUUAGCAUUAAUAGAAAGGAAUGUCUGGUUAAGAUAAGGGGUCGUGGAGACCAGUGUUUCAUGAUCAGAUGAAGCCUCCAGGUAGCAGGCUUCAGAGAGAAUAGAUUGUAAAUGUUUCUCAUCAGACUUAAAGAGUCUGUUCUCUCAGUCUUUAAGGGGUGUGUUGAUGUUACUGCUGGUCAGCUGGGCCUGAAAUCCAAAGGGAGGAGGGUACAGUGAGGCAUAUCCAACACCCAUUUCCUGUCGUGGUCUGAACUAGUGUUUCAGGUUAACCCUGGACUGCCCUUGGUCAAGAGCAGGGGUGCAUUCAGAUGGUGGGGGUGCUUAGAAUUUCAUUUUUGGUUUACACCACUGUGUCCUCUCCUGCCAGGGGAGGGACCCAGAGCUGGAGGCUUAGCCCUGGAGAUACCGGUGAAGAUGGAUGAAUGAGAAACCAGUUGGAGCUUCCAAGGUCUCUACCCACCCUCCAGACCUCCUCUGCUCCUGCCCCUGCCCAUUCAUUCCCAACUUCUGCUCUCCCAGCUCCCCUCCCACCCACAUGCUGUUCCCUCCUCUUCCAUCUUCCGCUUCCUGGGCCCAGAGACUGGGCAAGAUCCCCAGGGCUCUCCUUGCACAGCGAACCUCUCCCAGGGUGCAUAGCCUUGCUGCAAUCUUACACAGGGAAUACAUAAGCAAGGAAUACUUCUGUCCCUCUUGGACUCUGAAGCCAGAAGGCCAGGGCCUGGUUGGCCUCCUAACUGCUGUGUCCCAGGGCCAGAGCAGUGCCAGACACCCAGCAGUCUUAGCACCCACGAAAGCUGGAGGGACCCACACCUUCCCCAUCACUCAGUUGCAUCAGUCUAACGCAAUGGAUUUGGGCAGCUUGUGGUGGUUCACUGGCAGUUUAUUGGGGGACUUGAAGGAGUCAAGGUCAAGUGGGGGACUUCUGGGUGCCAGACCUGGCCCUUCCUUGGCCUGGGCUUGGGGUGUCCAAGCCCACAGAGCCAUGCAGGGGGAAAGAGCUAGGCAAGCAGGGUGGUUGAGGAGGUCAUUAGCGUGGCCUCGAGGGAAAACAAUUCCAAGAGGAGCCCAAAUUCGAAUGUCCCCUGGUGUCAUUGAGAAUGGAGAGAUUUAGGUUAUGAAUUGUGCAGUUGGUGGGUAGCAAGCCAGGGUCCUGAAGAUAGUCUGCAUAUCCCCUGGUGUCAUUGAGAAUGGAGAGGUUCAGGUUAUGAAUUGUGCAGUUGGGGGUAUCAAGCCAGGGUCCUGAAGAUAGUCUGCAUAUCCCCUGGUAUAUAUCAUUUAUAUAAGGAUGUUACUUAACUAUUGCUGUCUUCCAGAGGCAGCUUCUUGAACAAAUACUUGAGGUCCUCUAUAGGUUUACGGGAGUAGACUGUUUUCUCCAAGCAGGCCUGUCGUCCAUCAGGAGAAGCAAAAGGUUUUAUUCUAGAGACAAGUCCUUCCAACUGUACAGCUGAUGGAGUAGCCAAGGAAACCUGGACAGGAGGUAGCUUCUGACCUUUGGGAGCCAGAAGGGCCAGUAAAUGGAUUCUCUUCUCGGAGGUACUGAGACUUAUAUUGCAUCCCCUGGAGGGAAACUGAGGCUCCCAGGUUGGAUAAUAAAUCAUAACCUAUUAAAGGAAGGGGACACUCAGGGAUAUAUAGGAAAGAAUGAGUAAUACCCUUAAAUCCAAUUUCACAAGUCAAAGGAAAGGCAAAUCAUUUUACCUUCUCCUGGCCAUCUAUUCCCAUCACCAUACAGUUGGCAUUGCAGAGGUCCCACAGGUUGGGUCAGGACAGAGUAGGUGGUCCCAGUAUCCAAUAGUUAUUCAGGUUUCCUGCCUGCUACAUUGAGAGUGACCUGAGGCUUUGCGGUGGUGAUGCCAACAGAACGCUUCAAGACUGCAGCUGGGAGAGCACUUGGGCUACAUCCAGCAGAGAGGGUGGCCUUUUCAUACAAGAGACUAGCAUCAAGAGGAGUGGGUUGGGGAGAUUCAUGCUGUCAUGACUUCACAGGAUGGAAUGAACAGUCCCUUUUCCAGUGCCCCUCUUUCUUAUAAUAAGAACAUUGGUUGUCCCUCAGUCCUAUUGCUGCUGGUUGAGGUCUGGUCACCCCUUGUCUGGAGUGUUUCUCCUGCCUAGGGUCACCUUGAGGCAGACCUGUAAUUAUGGCAGCCAAAAUUUUUGCCCGAUUUUUCAUUCUCUCAUCCUUUUUUUCCUCCCCUGCCUGGUCCUUAUUGUUAAAAACCUUAAAGGCCUCCGCUAUCCACGUCACCUGAGGUGUCUUGGGGUAAGCUUCCAGUUUCUGAACCUUUCUCCAAAUGUCGGGUGGAACUUGAGUUAUGAAAUGCAUGGUAGUUGUAUGUUCAUUUUUAUAAGAAACUGUCAAACUGUUUUCCAUAGUGGCUGUACCAUUUUAAAUUUUCACCAGCUGUGUAUGAGUGAUCCAGUUACUCUGCAUCCUUUUCAGGAUUUGGUGUUGUCACUAUUUUUUAUUCUAGCCAUUCUCAUAGGUAUGUGGUGAUAUCUCAUUGUGGCUUAAAUUUGCAUUUUAUAAAGGAUAAGGAUGGCCUGGGCGCAGUGGCUCACGUCUGUAAUCCCAGCACUUUGGGAGGCUGAGGCGGGUGGAUCACGAGGUCAGGAGAUUGAUACCAUGGUGAAACCCCAUCUCUACUAAAAAUACAAAAAAAAUUAGCCAGGCGCAGUGGCGGGCGCCUGUAGUCCCAGCUACACAGGAGGCUGAGGCAGGAGAAUGGCGUGAACCCAGGAGGCGGAGCUUGUAGUGAGCUGAGAUCGCGCCACUGCACUCCAGCCUGGGCGACAGAGUGAGACUCUGUCUCAAAAAAAAAAAAAAAAGGAUAAGGAUGUUGAUUAUUUUUUAAUGUGCUUAUUUGCCACUCACAUCUGCUUGCUGACAAAAUGUCUGUUUAUAUGCCUUGUCCAUGUUCUCAUUGAUUUUUUUUUUUUACUGUUGAGUUUUAAGAGUUCUUUGUAUAUUUUAGAUAAAACUCUUUGUCAGAUUGUGGCUUGUAAAUAUUUUCUCUUAGUCUGUAGCUUGUCUUUUCAUCCUAAUAACAGAGUCAAUAGCAAAGCAAAAGUCUUAAUGUUGGUGAGGUCCAGUUUAUCAAUUGUUCCUUCUAUGGAUUCAGCUUUUGGUGUCAAUUUUAAGAACUUUUUACCUAGCCCUAGAUGGUAUCUUUUUAUGUUUUUUAGUCUAGAGAUGUCAUCUUUUUAUUCCUGAUAUUGAUAAUUUGUGCCUUCUUACUCAUGAUCAAUCUUUCUAAGGAUUUAUAAGUUUUAUUAGUUUUUUCAAAUAAGCAACCUUUUAUUUUUAUUUUUUGAUGAAUUUUCUAUUAGUUUGAAUUUCUUCUUUCUGUGGAUAUAUUUGCUAUUCUUUUUCUAAUUUCUUGAAGUAGAUACUCAGUUCUCUGUCUUUAAGAAUUUUUCCCAUGAAUGGAUUAUUUUAGACCACAAGUUUCUCUUAAGCAUAUCUUUGUCACUAUACCGCAAGUAAUAAUAGGUCAUGUAAACAGUAUAAUUCUUUUUUGGAGAAACAGUGUAAUUAUUUUUGGACACUAUGUCAUGCAGGUUGGAGUGCAGUGGCAUGACCAUGGCUCACUGCAGCCUUAACCUUCUGGGCUCAGGUGAUCCUCCCACCUCCACCUCCAUAGCAGCUGGGACUACAGGUGGGCACUACCACACCUUGCCAGUUGUUAAAAUUUUCUGUAGAGACGGGUUCUCACUAUGUUGCCCAGGCUGCUAACUCAUGGGCUCAAGCAACCUUCCCACCUCACCCUCCCAAAGUGCUGGAAUUACUGGCAUGAGUCACUGUACCUUGCCUCAGUAUAAUUUAAUACAAAUAUUUUCCAACUUCCUUUGUGACUGUCUUCUGAGACUUAGAAUAUGCAUAAAUUUAUUUCUUAUCUUCCAAACCUUUGGGGAUAUUUUAUUUUUUGAUAUCGGUGUUUUAUUUAAUUGCAUUAUGGUCAAAAACUUGCCACACGAUUUCAAGUCAUUGACAUUGUGGAGAUUUGCUUUAUCCCCAGCAUAUGGACAAAAAUUUGAUGAACAUUCCAUGUACACUUGAAAAAAUUGUGACUUUUUAGUUGUUCGGUGCAGUGCCCUGUAUAUGUUAGUGGGCCAAGGUUGUUAAUGAUGUUCAAAUAUUGCAUAUUUUUAUUAAUUUGCUGGAUUGUUCUGUCACACACUGAAAGAAGUAUGUUGAAAUUUACCAUUUCAUCUUUUAUUUCUGUUAAUGUUUGCUUUAUAUAUUUUGAGGUUAUGUUAACAGAUGCAUACACAUUUAGAAUUAUUGUAUCCACCUGUUGGAUUUACCCUUUUGCAAUUAUGAAAAGCCCUCCAUUAUAGUAAUGUUUCCUGUAUCAACAUCACUUUUGUCUGACAGUAGAAACUCUGCCAGAUUCUUUCACUUAGUGUUUGCCUGGUGUUGACUCAGCUCCACACCAACCAUCCCCACUCCACCUCUGUGGCUGGCCCUAGCUCCGCAAACUCAUUUCUGCUGGGCCAGCUGGUGCUGUGCUAAAUUCUCCCACUAGGGGCACCAGAGAAAGCACGCAAGGCUGGGGAAGAUGGGGAAUGUGCUCCUUUCAGUUUGCUUCCGGUUUCUUUCCCAGGCUUCCGGUCUACCUGCCACUGGGGCCACGUGUCCUCUGGAUGCUGCUGGUUCACCUGGCAGUGGCACUUCCCCACCUAGCUGCUAAAACUGGGUUGCUGGUUCCCGACUCUGCAGAAUCAGCUUGAUCUCCCCGCUAGAGACCUCAAACCACUGCUAGGGACACCUCAUCUCGGGGGUCUGGGUUUCAGGCCGUAGGCCCUUCCAGCUCAGACCCUGGCAGCAGCUGCCAUCCCUCUUCAGAGGCCAGAUCCCAGUGUGGCAGCCGCCCUGGGGCACCUGGGGAGUGACUCAUUUUCAUGAAUUCCAGCUUAUUAGUUUUAUUAAUUCUCCCCUUUGUACCCCAGACUGAGUGGUGGUGGCUGCCUUGUGUGGUUGCUAUUUUCCUGAUACGUGGGCUGGCAAACCAAAACCUGAGACCACAGCCAGCUGCAGUCCUGUGUUCCUACAACCUGUGAGCUAAGAAUGUUAUUUAUUAAGUAGAAUAUUAAUAAAUAAAUAAUAAACUAUACUAUAGUAUCUAAAUGUGAAUUUUUUUUUUUUUACUUAAAGCAUCUUCCAUAGAUAUAUAUGAAAUUCAAAUACAUUUUAUUGGGACACACUGUUUUAAUUCAUUUUCAUAUUUAUUGCCUCUUAGCACAAUGCUUGAGCCUUGGAAUACUUUUAACUCCUUUCAUUCCUCUGUCACCUUCUGUGUUACUGUGGUCACAUACAAUUAUUCACACUACUUAUAUUCAUUAUAUUAAAUCUGCUGUAUGAUUUUUUACUUCUAUAUAUUAUAUCCCUAAAGUCCUUGUUAUUAUUGUCUUAUACAAUAGAUUUUUAUUUAUAUUAACUAAUAUUCUUUCCAUUGCUUAUGUUUGAUAUAACUUUUCAUCCACCUUUAGGAUUUCCUUUAGUGUGGUCUGAUGGUGAUACAUUCUAUGAGAGUGUGUUUCUUUCACUUUGUCUUUACUUUUGCAUUUUGAAGGGUAUUUUGUUUUGUAGAACGCUCUAGAAUUAGCAGUGAUUUUCUUCCAGCAGUUUCACAAUGUUCUUCCAUUGUCUUUUCUCAUUGCUUACUUUCUCUUUUUGGAACCCGGGUAUUAUUCUUAUUGUUGCUCCUUUAAGUAUUGUGGCUGUUUGCUCUGACUGCUUUUAAGACUUUCUCUUUAUUCUUGGGUUUCAGAAGUUUUGCAAUGAUGUAUCCAGGUAUGAUUUUUCCUUGUAUCAAUUCUGCUUCAGUUUCUCAGAGUUUCUCAAAUCUGUGGUUAUUUUCUAUCAGUUUUCAAAAAUGAUCUCCUGUAUCUUCAAAUAUUGUGUCUGUCCCUUUCUCUUAGUGGAUCCAUGGUCUAUCAGUUAGCUACUGCUGCAUAAUUAGCCGCCCCAAAGCCCACUGAUGUGAAACAUCCAUUUUUGUAUUAUCACUCAUGGAUCUGUGGGUAGGCCCAGCUCAGCUGGGUAGCUCCGCUUCUCACUACAGAUCUUGAGUCUACUGGGAUGGUUCUACAACCCACGUCUCUCUUCCUCCUGGUACAAGUGGUCUAGCUGAAGCAUUUUCUUCUCAGGAUGAUGGUGGGGGCACGAGAGAAAUCCCAAUCACACAAGCUCAUCUCAUGUCUUUGCUUGUGUCACUUCUGCUAAUGUCAUUGCCUGAAGCAAGUCAUGUGACAGUAUCCAACGUGAAUAUCAGGGAACUAAACCAAGUCUUUGGCUGGAGGAACUGCAAAGUUACAUGGCAGAGGGUAUUGUAUAGCAGGGGUCCCCAACUCCACAGUCCAUGGCCUAUGAGGAGCCAGGCCACAUAGCAGGAAGUGAGUGGCAGGCGAGCAAGGAUUCCAGCCUGAGGUCUGCCUCCUGUCAGAUGAGCAGUGGCAUCAGAUUCUUGUAGGAGCACAAACCGUAUUGUAAACUGUGCAUGUGAGGGAUUUGGGUUGCAUGCUCCUUAUGAGAAUCUGAUGAUCUGAGGUGGAACAGUUUCAUCCCGAAACCAUCCUUCUGCCUCAUCCAUGGAAAAAUUGUCUUCCAUGAAACUGGCCCCUGGUACCAAAAAGGUUGGGGACUGCUGAUGUAUAGCAAAGGCUGAAGAAACAGAGUCAAUAAUUACAUCGACUUAUAUACAACUAUGCCAGACCUUGUCUCCAUGUCCCAGGUACCAAGGCUUUUUCUGUAUUUUCCAUUCUCUUUUUAAAUUUUGUGAUCUUCAGUCUGAUGGUUCCUACCUACCAUUCUUCUUGUUUACUCUUCCUUUCUCUGAUUGUCUAAUAUGCCAUUAAAUUCACCUCUUGGGCCUUUCUGUCAUACCCUUGAUUUCUAUUUCAUUAACUUCUACCACUUUGUUAUUUUCUUCAUACCUACUUUCUGACUUUUAAAGCGGAAUUUUGUUGUUGUUUGCUUUUGAAGUAGGGUCUCGCUUUGUCGCCCGGCUGGAGUGCAGUGGUACGAUCACGGCUUGCUGCAGCCUUGACCUCCUGGGCUCACGGCAUCCUCCCAUUUCAGCCUCCUGAAUAGCUGGGACUACAGGUCUUUCCAGAGACACAUAGAAGGUGCCAUCUAUGAGGAACAGGCCUUCACCAGACAUCAAAUCUGUUGGCAUCUUGAUCUUUGACUUCUCCACCGCCAGAACUAGAUCAAGACAUGAAACCCAUGUUCAAGAUACUUUCCAGUGUGUCUUCAUGUGAUCCUCUGAGUCCAGCCAUCAGGCUACCAGCAGCUCUUGGAAACCCUGACAUACUUAUUCUUAGAAGACUGCUUUCCGGACUCAAAGUGGAACCUCAAAUUUUCAAUUUUCUUUGUUUUUAAAGCCUACACAUAGGUGAUGAUAUAUACAUGCAUAUAUAUUUUGGAGAAUUUAUAAUUCUGAAAACAAUGCUGGUCUUAUGGAACCCAUCCAUUCCCCUUUCCCCGUGUGUGCUCCGAGCUGUGGUGGCACGUGAAAAGGGGUCCUUCCAGCAGUGGCCCACAGCCCUGGGCUGCUUACUUGCUCACUUCAUUUACAAGAGCAAGAAAUACACAUUCUUGUGUUGUUUAAGUCAUUAUGAUGUGGGGAUUUCCAUUACUCACACACCUGAUCUAGUAGUAACACAGUAGCCUAUUUUAGCAAUAUCAUUUAUUCAAUAAUCCAUUCUUUCCCCAUUAGUUUUGAGCCUUCAUUUAUUGUGUACUAAGUUCUGGUUAUUUUUAGUGGUUGUAAUCUCCUUCUUUCCUACUCUCUUAAUCAUGGGAUUGCCAAUAUCUGCUCUGUGUUUCUGUGCCAUCUAUAGCCUCUGGCCUUGGUACUGCUUCAAAACUGAUAUUUCUAACCUUACUUUGACUUCUCCAUUCAGUGAAGUUCCCAUAGUUCAUCACUCAACUGCUCUCUUUCCAUCGUGACCUUCUGAACUAGCUCACACCCAGAUGUACUUUUGUUAUCUGCCUUUCCCCCUCAUAAACAUGGGCUGCUGCUGGGGAAAAUCCACUACCGAACUCUUGCAGGUCUCUGCAAAUGUUUAAUGCCCUGUCUUAGCCAUGACCUCCACAAUGCUGGGCUAUCCUAUGUUAUGUCCCCUAAGAUAUCCCUUCUCUCUUACCUUUGGGGAUAGUCCUAAGCUUCCAUCAUGGCACUCAAAGUCCAACCUUAUUUGUACCCUCAUUCUCUGAGCAGACACCACCGUAUUCUGUUUCACAGAGAAAAUGUGACUGCUGGGGAUAAUUCUUUCAACUUCCUGGCCUCUUCCUAUACAUGAUCUUUCUCUGUAUUCUUGCCUAUUGCUCUUCCAUGUUGAUAGAAGUGUCUGUUCUCCUUGUCAGUGUCUCGGCCUUGGAUCUGUCCCCUAGACUAUUCUGCCUGUGUAAGGACCUUCCCUGACCAGCUGGGCCACCAUCUCCUGCUUCUCCAAUCCCUCACUCUAGACUGACUCUUAACCUUUGGUCAACAAUACUUGAGCUUUUACAUUCAUAAUGGAGCAUCUGUGUUGAACCUUGUUCUUUUCUAGACACUACCCUCCGUUCUGUCUUCCAUCCAUGGUGACUUUUCUAGAAAGAGCAUCUAUCACACUGGAGACAGCAAACUCCUUGAUCCAUUCUAAUUCCUAACCCUGCAAUAAUUUUCUAUCUCCCUUACUCAAGUAAUUGGGAGUGCUCCUAGUGUUACCAGAGACCCAGCAGUUCCCAAUUUCGAAUUUUUCCGUAUUCACAUUUCUUGACUUGCUAUGAUUUUACAUCACAGAUUACAUCCUUCAUUUGAAGAGACUCUAAUGGAAGGCUGCCAUGGAAACUCUCUCAUGUGGCUGACCUCCUACCUCACUUGCUCUUUCUGAAUGAAGUUCCCACUUUUGCCUGCCUUAAUGAAAGUAAUGCUCCCCAAACUCAAGCCCAGGGCUGCGAAUUGGAAGCAGCUGGGGCUACUGUUUCUGGGUGCUGGUGUGAAUGGCAGGAUGUGAACACCAGCCUGUGACGGGCAAAAAGAUGGACACACAGGCAGAGCCUGACAGGUGCUGGUGGUCCUAUCUGGUCCUGAGUUGCUGGGACCCUCCUUGCCCACUGCCCCUAGAAUGGACUUUGGCCUCAGGUUCGAAGUGUUCAGAUGUGACUGAGAUGAGCCUUUUCCCCAUGCCUCAGGAAUAGCGAAGAAACUCUAUCUGGAAGGUUCCCCAGGCUUCCCCACCCAGCAGCCUCUGGUAUUAGACCAGGCAGUGGCUGGCCAGGAUGGUGGGGACAGAAGGGAGACAAAGGUGAGCAGUGGGUGGGGUCACAUCCUCCCUGACAUUGAAUAGACAACAUGGGGAGGAAGGAUGAGUGAUCUUUAGAAUGUUCAUGGAAAAUGCAUAUUGGGAAAAAGAAUGCAUGAAUUUCAAAUUGUUUUGCAACAAAAUAAACUUGUACUAACUUGUGAAAACACGUCCGAACAGGAUCUAGUUUGAGGCCCUAAGAAGUAUAAGACAACAGUUUGAACAGAGCUCCUAUCAGACACAUGAAUUCUGCUAAAAUUGAAACCAGAACAAACAUGCAAUUGAUGGUGAAGCUUGGCUGGAAACAUGGUGAAAUCAUUGAUGAUUUAUUGAAAGUUUAUAGGGACAAUGCCUCAAAGAAAUCAGCAAUUUAAGUAAGUGGAUAACUCAUUGGAAGAAGAGAAGAGAUGAUGUUGGAGAGGAAGUCCACAGCAGCAGGCCAGCCACAUCAGUCUGUGAGGAAACAAUUCAUCUUGUUUGUGCCCUAAUUUAAGAGGACUGAUUAAUAGCAGCAGAAACAAUAGCCAACGCUGUAGGUAUCCCAAGGUGUUCAGCUUACACAAUUCUGACUGAAAUUAAAGUUGAGUAAACUGUCCACUCGGUGGGUGCCAAAACUUUCUCCCAGCUCAGCUGCAGAUAAGAGAAAAGCGUUCUAUGGCCAUUUUAAACAAGUGGAAUCAAGAUCCUGAAGCAUUUCUUCAUAUAAUUAUAGCCGGAGAUGAAAUGUGGCUUAACCAGUACACUCCUGAAGGCAAAGCACAAGCAAAGCAAUGACUACCUAGAGGUGGGCGUGGUCCCAUCAGAGUAAAAGCAGACAUGUCAAGGGCAAAGGUCGUGGCAACCGUUUUGUGAAUGCUCAAGGCAUCUUGCUUAUUGACUUUCUGGAGGGCCAAAGAACAGUAACAUCUUAUUAUGAGAGUGUAUAGAGAAAGUCAGCCAACGAUUUAGCAGGAAAACACCCAGGAAAUCGUCACCCCGGAAAGCUUCACCAGAGAGCCCUUCUCCACCAUGACAAUGCUCCUGCUCAUUCCUCUCAUCAAACAAGGCCAGUUUUGUGAGAGUUUCAAUGGGAAAUCACUAGGCAUACACCUUCCAGGCCUGAUUUGGUUACUUCUGUUUUAUAAUUUUAAAAAAUCUUUAAAGGGCACCCACUUUUCUUCAGUUAAUAACGUCACAAAGACUGAAGUGGCAUGGUUAAAUUCCCAGGGUGCCCAAUUCUUUAGGGAUGAACUGAAUGGCUGGUACCAUUACUUGCAGAAGCGUCUCGACCUUGAUGGAGCUCAUGCUGAGAAAUAAAACAUUUUUUAAUUUUUAUCUUUUAAUUCAAUUUUUUCGUGAACUUUUGAAGUCCCCUUGUAUUUGUUUUUGGUGGAACUUUGAGUCUGAUUUCUCAGCUCCCCAUGGAUGGCUGCAUCUUAACAGAGAAAUGAACGCCAUUUACCCUGAUGCUCUCUACUUGGCCUAAGUUUCAGAUGUUGAACACACACGUGUGGGAAUUUAUGAAUCUGUGCACCUGUGCCAGCUGGUGGGUGAAGUCUAAGUUUCUUCAACACAAUUAGUUAUCUUCUGCCUCCUGGAAUCUGGUAGGAAAGGUUGAGGAAAAGCAGCCAUCCACAGCGCCUCCACCACUGGAAUGGGGGCAGCCCUAACGUGUGCCCCACUGCCCCCCAUGCUGAGGAGUCCUUCACUCCAGGGAUGUCUUCACCCCAAUCAUUCAGACUCCCCCAGUGUUCCUGCGUCACCUGAAAGGUCGGAAGCAUCUCAGCACAUACUCUCCAUGAGUGGUACUUAGGCCUCCCUCCCCAUCAAUACUGAAGCCCUCAGAGGCAGAGGGGAGUCAAGGAAAAGAGUGGCCAUCAGCAAUAAAUGAGUUACAAGGUUUGAUUUCAAAGAGAAAAACUUGUCACCAAAAUCACUACUCAGGAGAUCUGGACUUCCUCUGAAUGUGAGUUAAAGAACCCUUGAGGGUUAAGAGCCAACUGCACCUGAUCCCCACUCUCCCAUCCCAAGACCCUGGGAAGUCAAACCAAGAGGUAAUCAACAGAAAACAAGUUUAAUGCAACAGGUGACAACGGUCUGGAGCGAGUCCAUGCUCCGGAAGGCUCAGUCUGUGGCAGUCCCGUGGCUCAAGACAGGCUGAGGCCGGCUGCAAUGGAGGCCAGCAGCAGGAGGAUGGCCAGCCACAGCCCACCACAGCUCUCACCCAUGCUCCCAGCAUAUUCUUUGAACACUGAUGAGUUGAUAGGUGGCCCCUCUAAAUUGCAGUAGCGAAUUUUACAACACUUGAGGUAAAAGAAGGGCAUGGGCUCUUCCAGGAGAAACCGCUUCUCCUCUGGCUUGGGUCUCUCCAUCGCUGCACAACCAGCGGAGCACUGCUUCGCAACCAUGAAAAAACGUGGAAAUAUUUCUAAUAGGAAAUAAAGACCGAGAGAAGGCAAUCACGCAAUUCCAAUGCCUGACACCGAGGCCCUUCUGUCUGGGUCAAAGCCUCACCCCUGGCGGCCCUGCUCAAAGGUGCACAGUCAACUGGGGCACCAAGGGGGAGUCGGGAGGACGAGGGCCAGGCCUGUGUGUUGAAUGCUGCUUCAGGGAAGGGCUGGCUUCUGCGUGGUAUGGCCUGUCCAUAUGCACUGGGAAUGCGGGUCUAGGGGUUGCUGUUUGGGAACAAACAGGUCUCAACUUCUCAAACACAGGGUUGGCUCAGGCCUUUGUGACCACAGACAGACACAUGACUCCCAGCCAUUCUGGCCAUCACCCAGGGUGUGGAGCUGGCCUCUUGGUGGGCCUGGCUCGACUCUGAGCUGGGGGUCUUGUCUCAUGACCACACUUCAUCUUAUACAUCACUGUACAAAUCAUUUUGCCAUAUUAAGUUAUAAAGUCGAUGUGGGCCACACUGAGUCUGAAGCAUCACCUCAGCACCCCACCAACUUCGUGGAUACCGAAGGGCUGGAGAGUGACUGCUGGGCGGAAUCAGAAUUCACGAGCCCUGAAGAUCUCCCUGUGGGCAGAAUGUGCUGGGUGUCCAGAUUCCCCUUGGGGAGGGCUUCAUGUACCCAGAGGUUUUCAGGGGAAUCACAGAUGACAGAGCAGUGGUCUCCACAAUUUUUAAGGCAUGCACCCUCCUUUGAGAACACACUUGAAGGCUGUACACCUUGGUUUUGUGCAUCUCUUGUAAGAGUGACAUAGACACUGUUCUCUGUGGCGCAUUUAACACUAUUAAAGCUUAAUUUUUCAUUUAAAAAUGGAUGAUAUGAAAUCCAGAUUUUCUUCCUACCUCCCAGUAUUUCAUCUGGACCCACUGUAGCAGGCACUGCCUUACACUAGCACAGUUCCUACACCUCUCUCUGGCCUCUGAGGACUUUGCUCUUCACAUUUUAAAGGGAAAAAAAGGCAGGGCGCGGUGGCUUACGCUUGUAAUCCCAGCACUUUGGGGGGCCGAGGGCGGGUGGGUCACCUGAGGUCAGGAGUUCGAGACCAGCCUGACCAACAUGGUGAAACCCCACCUCUACUAAAAAUAAAAAAUUAGCCAGUGUGGUGGCGCGCAUCCAUAAUACCAGCUACUCUGGAGGCUGAGGCAGGAGAAUCGCUUGAACCCGGAAGGCGAGGUUGCAGUGAGCCGAGAUCACACCACUGCACUCCAGCCUGACUCCGUCUCAGAAAAUAAAAAAAAAAAAAGGCUACUUUCUAUUAGUUAUUCCCCAUUGAGGAAAACUAGACAGCCCUGAUUCCUGAAAGCCCUCUGUUCACCUGCCUUUGGGUCCCCAACAAGAGCGAAGAUACUCACUCACGGCCGCUAUAACGCAGUAUGGCUCUGUCCAUUUGCACCUCCUUGGGUUCUGGCACUCGAAAGUGUUUUCUCUCUCACAAACAUGACACCACACUCUAUUGUCACCCUCGUCUGAAAGGAGGAAUAAAAAAGAAAGCAGAAUGUUCCAGUUCUCCGUGCCUAUCUGAUGAACACAGCCGGCAUCCGACCAGCACAAACUCGGCGGGUCCCCAUCCUUCUCCCCCUGAGCAGUGGCUGGGGCCACAUGACUCGAGUGAGCCGCAUGGGGAGAAAGCAGGAGGGGUCUCCGGCCACGUAAGAGCUGCCCGCUUCCCCUUCGCCUUCCCCCAUGAUUGUAAGUGCCCUGAGGCCUCCCCAGAAGCCAGCACCACGCUUCCUGGACAGCCUGUGGAACUGUGAGCCAAUUCCACCUCUCUUCUUUAUAAAUUGCCCAGCCCCCGGACUUCUUUACAUUCUGAGUGAUUUUUCUUCUCUCCUGGGGGCUCCCCCGUCCUCCCACAUCCAAGCACACAACAUGAGCGCACAGCGCACCCCCACUCGGCCGCAGCACCCUGACCCCAGGUCGGCCACGCGGCACCCACGGGCCCUGGCAUCUCCCGGCCGACGGCUGUGGAAGUGACCCUGGGGCUUGGGUCUGCUCCCACGUGCCCUCCCGCCCACCUCCCAGGUCCACCCACCUCCCAGGUCCUGCCCCCCGACUCCCUCAAAGGAGUUCUCCCUUGGGUCUGGGUUGGGCCUGGCCUAGCUCUGCAGGAGGAGCCGGCCCUCCUCCCGCAGCUUGAACGGUUCUCAGCCCGUGAAGCCCCCGGAGGCCAGGCCGGCGGGAGCCUGCAGCCUGAGGGCUCCCGGGGAAGCGCGGCCGGAGCGGGGCAAGGGCUGGGGAAGGGCCGGGCUCAGGCUGCCCCGCCGCCCUGGUGGAAGCCGCACGAGGCGAGGCUCCCCAGAGGCUUCCAGGCGCCACGGGCCGCCUGAACGCUCCGUUCUCACGGCCUGGUCGGGGCGGUGGCCACGCGGUGCCAGGCAGACGCCGCCCGGCCCUGUCCUCUCGGCCCGUGGCUGUGGAGGGCGAGCCAGGCUCACCCGUUCGCUGGGAGUCCUCUGGAUCUCGUUGUCUCGCAGUCAGGUUGGCGUCUGUCCACACCCGCGGUAGGGCCACGACCAGCAGCAAGGCGAGCAGCGCCAUCGUCCCCAGCGGUGCCCAGGGAGGGUCAGCGCGCGGCGCCCCCUCCCCGCCCUUCUGGAACCUUCGCAGCCUCCGCGCGCCUCUCCCCGGGUCUGGCCGGUAGGGGGAGCCCCGCCCGCCCCGGGGCGCGCGCCUCCCACCCGCCGGGGCCUGUCGGGGUCUUUGGAGCCUCAUCUCAGGGCCUCGCGGCCGCUGGCGGCCCUGAACGCCGGUUCUGAGUCCCGCCUUGUGCUGCUGUUGGAGCGGCCGGCGGCCAGGCAGGAACGGGCGCGGGAGCCCUGGGAAAGGCGCGUGUGGAAACGCAGCCCCUGAGCCCAAGGGCCGUCUCCUUGAGGACCCCACGGCCCACAGAAAGUGGCCGGCGGCCAGGUAGGGGAUCUUCUCCGCUGAAGAGCACGGGCUCACCUCUGAUAACUCGCCCCUGAAUAGCUUUUAGCUCAUUAUAAUACCAAAAAAAAAAAAAAAAACAAAAACCACAUCCCUGGGGAGAGAUUCCAGAUGCUAAUGACACACUCCAGCGCACUAGUGUGUGAGGUCACGGUGCCUGCGUGCCCUGAGGACUUCCCAAAACGUGCUUACUAGUAAGGCCCCUGCCUGGGCCGUUCGUGAGUAAUCCUGUAAAACUCUCAUCAAGAGGGUCUCCCCAGCGUGAGUAGCGACUGACUCAUUCUUUUGAGCAGUUCCUCUUUCAAGCUGUACUGUUUUCCUUAACUAAAAGCUCAAAUAAGAAUUCCUCCUGGCGCCUGUAGUCCCAGCUACUCGGGAGGCUGAGGCAGGAGAAUGGCGUGAACCCGGGAGGUGGAGCUUGCAGUGAGCCGAGAUCGCGCCACUGCACUCCAGCCUGGGCCACAGAGCGAGACUCUGUCUCAAAAAAAUAAAAAAAAAAAGAGAAAGAAAAGAAUUCCUCCUAAGUCACUAGCUUUUGGCUCUAUCUCCUGAGUGGCAGGUUCUGUCUUGUCUCUCUGAGAUCCUGACUCUUUAAAUAAAGGUUACUUAACCCUAUACCUCUUGCUAGGCAUCUCUUGUCUGAAUUCCUUCCUCCAAGAAGACUAAGAACUGGAGGAUUUCCAUGCCUCUCACAGUGACAGUGCUACCCAAACAUCAGGGUUGUCAUCUAGGCCCCCUGCCCUGCACAGAAAGCCAAUCACCAACAGCAGUGCCAGGGAAGAAGGCCUCAUUCAAGUGCUACAGCCCAGAGAUGGGCGCUCAGUCACAAAUCCCUCUCCUCAGCCCACUAAAAUUAGAAGUUUCCAGAGCAGGGAAGAAAUGUCACCCUGUGUGGGAAAACAGGAAUUAGGGAGAGUGAGGAGGCAGCUAGGCAGUCAUGACUGGUGAGGGGUCUGGCCUCAAGGACCUACUGAGUUUCAGCGCCUUGAUACUGUCUGGGAGGCCCGAUGGUUGGUUUCCUGAGAAAGGAGCUCAGAUAAGACAAAUGUAACUUUCCCAAGUUUUAAGACAGGGUGGGCCAAUUUCUAUGUUUAUUCAAAAGAAACCCUAAAUACUAGUUUUACGAGAAAUUGGGCCCAUGUGAGUAGGCCCCAAAGGGCAAUCCACAGGUGGUGUUCUCCACCCUGCUUUCUCCUCUCAACCCUCUGUAUAGAGGCCCUCUGUUAACACAGGCAGGAGCAGGAAUUUCACACUCUUUUCCUUUCUUUGCUUUCUUCUUUGUCUUUUUUUUUUUUUUACAGUUGUGAUAUAGUUUGGAUCUGUGUCCCCACCCAAAUCUCAUGUUGAAUUGUAAUCCCCAGUGUUGGGGGUGGGGCCUGGUGGGAGGUGAUUGGAUCAUAGGGGUGGUCCUUCAUGAAUGGUUUAGCACUAUCCCUUUGGUGCUGUUCUUGUGAUGGAGUUCUCACGAGAUCUGUUUUUUUUAAAAGUGUGUAGGCAACUCCCUUUCUUCCUCCUGCUCAGGCCACGUAAGAGGUGCCCGCUUCCCCUUUGCCUUCCAUCAUGAUUGUAAGUUUCCUGAGGCCUCCCCAGAAGCCAGCACCAUGCUUCCUGCACAGCCUGUGGAACUGUGAGACAAUUAAACCUCUUCUCUUUAUAAAUUGCCCAGCCUCAGGUAUUUCUUUAUAGCAAUGGGAGAAAGGACUAAUACAAGUUGCAUCAUAUUCCAUGGCCUGGAUGUACCAUAGUUAAUUUAAAUAGCCUCCUUGAAUGAACAUUUGUGUUGUUCACAGUGUUUUUAUAUCUCACAUGUCAAAGUCAAAUACAUUAUAGGAUGAAUCUCUAAACGUUUUAUUCAGGAAUCACAGAAUUGUAAUUCUGGGCGUACACAGACCAGAAAUGUGUUUGGUGUGUCUGACGAACAAAGAGAAGGUUGAAAGUUUUAUUUAAGAAAUGUUACCUAUUGUUUAGAAAGAAAACUUGUGGGCCCUGGUAGAGGUUUGGGGAGCUGGCAGGCUCUGAUGGGUGAGUGACACAGUAGGUAGACCUUGUCUUUGAGUCACGGCAGGUCGUUCCAGCAGCUGUUAGGUGCACCUGAUUGUAAAGUUGCAGCAGGCGUUUCAGCACUUGGGCUUGCAGAUGGUUCUUGGAGCAGGUGCUGUCUGCCUGAGUGGUUUUCCUCUGGCCCUCUGCCUUGACUUAGUCGGGUAUGACCAGAAUAACUCAAUUUAUGAAGUCAACUUUCAUAUACAUGACGCUGCAAUUGUCCCUAAUGUCAUUCCUUACAUAUACCAUUAUACCACAGCUUUCCAGAAAUGAGAUCAAGGGACAAAAGUUAAAUAUAUUUGCAGUUUAUAUGAGUAUUGCCCAGUUGCUCUAUCUGGUCUUUGGACAAUUUUGUCAUUGAGGAGUGAGUGCUUGUUUUCAUGGUGGUGUCAGAAAGAAUGUCCUCUUAUUUACUCUUUGGAUUUUCACCAAUGUGACAGAUGAAAAUGAAAAUAGUAUCCGGGUGUAUUUUUAAUUUGCAUUUUUAAAUUAUAAGUGAGCUUGAGCACUUGAUAUGGUUUGAUAUGUUUGAUAUGGCUAGUGGAUAUUUGCAUUUUCCUGUGAUCUCUCUAUUUAUGUCUCUCGUCCAUUUUCCCGUUUAACAGACAUUGCUUAACAGAAGACAAUAUUUGAGUUGCUGACCAAUCCCGAAAUAGUUGUGAGGUAUGAUAUCAGCAGGACUUGUUUUCCGAGCCUUGAUCAUGACCCUGUGAUCAAAACAGGAUAUAACAAAGAAACUGGCCCAAACCAGCUAGGACCAAGAUGGUGACAUAAGUGACUUCUAGUUGCCCUCAUUGCUCAUUAUAUGCUAAUUAUAAUACAUUCUCAUAAGACACCACAUCAGCACCAUGACAAUUUACAAAUGCCAUGGCAAUGACCCAGAAGUUAUAUGGUUCAUAUAUGAUGCCAAAAAGGCUCAUUACAAUGGAUCUUGGGAGUAAUUUUUCAAGGAAUAUGAACAAAGUCUUCCCUCUGUGGUUAAUUCAUGAAUGCUGUGUUGGAAUAUUCUGGAUGGUCCAGACUUUCCUCUGUAAUCGACGUUGAGCCCUGCACAACUUCAGGAGGGCGCCAGACCUCACUACUCUCAAGGAAAAGGCUGAAGUGGAGGAAUUGAUUCCCACUGAUUUUUUUUUUUAAUUUUUUUGAGACAGAGUCUUGUUCUUUCACCAAAGCUGGAGUGCAGUGGCAUGAUCUCGGCUCACUGCAACCUCUGCCUCCCAGGUCCAAGUGGUUCUCCUGCCUCAGCUUCCCGAGUAGCUGGGAUUACAGGCAUGAGCCACCAUGCCUGGCUAAUUUUAGUAUUUUUAGUAGAGACAGGGUUUACCAUGUUGACCAGUCUGGUCUCGAACUCCUGACCUCAAAUGAUCCGUCUGCCUCAGCCUCCCAAAGUAUAGGGAUUACAGGCGUGAGCCACUCCACCUGACCUUGAUUUUAUUUUUAACCAUCCUGUCUGAGAGAUUAUUUGUGGAGGCUGACAGCAGAUGUGCAGGGUUCAACAGUGCAGUAUGCUGCAUUUCUUCAGCUAUACCUCAUAUUGUAAAGACUGUCCAGGUAACUCAACAAGCGGGAGGUAAGGGUUGCAGGUGGGAUACUGUAGUACACCCCAUUGGUCUAAAGGCACAUUUCCUUCUUUUCCACCCACUGUUGCAGUCCAGCCAGGCAUAACUUUAGGAGAAUGUGGUUAGGUAAACAUGUGCCAUUUGGCACAGGGAUAUUUGAAUUUCCUGGCAUGAGGAGUGGCGGGACUUGGACUAGCUAACCAUGAGAGUGAGUUAGUAGAGAUGUGGAUGCCGUCAUGCUGAUGGCCUGCUCAGAGUAGCACUGGGCUGUAUUCGCCCAAACACCCAACAGAGCCUGGCCAAAUGCAAGGCCCAGUCCGGUCUGGGGACUUCUCUGGAAUGCCUGUGCCAGUAUAACCGGGAAUGUCCCUCAAACAGAGAGAAGCAAAUUAUUAUCUCUUACUGAGCCCUUUGCUAAACAAGAAGCAGAGCCAUGUGGACCUAUGAGAGAUCUGGAGACACAACAUUCCCCAUUGAGGAAUACACCGCCCUUGCUAUUCUGAAUUCAAAUGGGUCCCUGAACCAAUAAAAGCAUGAAUGUAUUUUCAAGAGGUGGUGCAUGCAGCUUCAUGCAGGCCUCCUGAGCCAGUCGUCCAGAUGUGGUUAGGAAUGUCUGCUAUCAGGACACUUGCUGCCUGGGAACCCUUGGCAGAGGCCAGCACUGCCACCCAGCAGGGACCUCUGGUGUGUUGCAGCUGCUCCUCAAAUGCCUCUGGAAGACAAUAGCAACUUACGACUUCCUUACCAGGAAACAGCAUCAGAUAGCCUUCAAACCAGAAAUGCCUCUCAUGUCUUGAUGUCAGAGAACCAUUCUACCAAGAGGAGGAGCAGCCCAGCAAAGUCCAUCAAACGGUGAGAGUAUAUUCCAGAGCAGGGGGCAGGAGGACGUUAGGGGAGCCUGUGGCUUCUGCAGCAGAGGCAAUAGCAGAAGGAGAGGAGAGGGAGGAGCAGAAGGAGAGCAGAGGGAGAGCAGAGGGAGGAGCCUUCAAGGGCUGCUGUGUGUUCGGAGCCCAGCUAAAGCCAAGCAGGCCUCUGAGCUCCCUGCUAGGAGUUCAUGUCUGCAGGGCAUGUGGCUGCUUGGAAAUUAGCCAUGUAGACCUCACAGUCUGUCUUUGCCAGAGAAAGGCAGGGCAAACCAUAUUAUACACCUUUAUAACAUUGUUUCAAAUCCAGAAGUGUGAUGCCUCCACCGUUGUUUUUCUUUUUCAAAAUUGCCUUGGCUAUUUUUUUUUUUUUUUUUUGUGGUUCCAUGCCGAUUUUGGAUUUUUUUUCUUUUCUCUCUUUUUUGAUGGGGAGGGAUGGAGUCUCACUUUGUUGCCCAGGCUGCAGUGCAGUGGCACAAUCUUGGCUUACUGCAACCUCUGCUUCCCGGGUUCAAGGGAUUCUACCACCUCAGCCUCCUGAGUAGCUUGAGACUACAGGCGUGUGCUACCAUGCCCGGCUAACUUUUGUGUAUUUAGUAGAGUUGGGAUUUUGCCAUGUUGGCCAGGCUGGUCUUGAACUCUUCACCUCAGGUGAUCCACCCACCUCGGCAUCCCAAAUUGUUGGGAUUACAGGCGUAAGCAAACGUGUCCAGCCAGAUCUUUCUUCUAUUUCUGUGAGAAAUACCACUGAAAUUUUGAUAGGGAUCCCAUUGAAUUUGUACAUUGCUUUUGAUGGGAUUACUAGAGAAACAGGAGUGUAGGAGAGCCAGAGUGACGCCAUUUUAAAGCCAAUUCCAUUUUAAAACAAGCAAGGCAAUUCCUUGCCAGUCACAGCCCAUGGUCACAGGUGUUGACAGCUAAGGAGGGAGUUUAGUAAUGCCUGCAAGGACUAACUCCUACAGCAACAAAAUGUCCAAAUGCGCCAAUAUCUAAUAACAAUAUGUGCUUUUAAAAUAAUUAGAAUCAUGCUUUGAUGUACUUACUCACUAAAAUCCCAAGGAUAGUUUACUUUAAAUCAACAAAGUAAUAAGUUUUGUCACGCUGUCAACCCACCCACACAUAGACUUAACUUAGCUUUUACAUAGAUAAGACCCCUACAUGAGAGGAGUUUAAAACAAAGACAAUGCGUUCCUCCUCUUGUUUUCUGAGGAUGCCCUACUCUGCAUCUGAGUAGCUUUCAAUAAAUGAUCUCUUCUCACUGCACUCUGUGACUCACCUGAAUUCCUUCCUGUGCAAGACUGAAAAACCCUCUUCCAGCAACAUCUUUCUGGCGAUGCACUAAGGGACCAUAAGAUGAGACUAUGUGCUGGGGAAGUUUUGUCUGCAGCACCAGUUGGCCACCUCUGGUAAAUGGGGUCCUUCUUGGCAUCCUAUGUCAUGCUUAGACAAGGAUGCUCGCCUAGAAACUCAGGUUAGAGGCUCAGCCCACAAGGUUAGAUGCCCUGGGGUAUAUCUGGAACAAUGGAAGUCUCUUUGCAAGAUGUUUGUCAGUACAUGAUCUGAACUAAUCCACCUUGUGCCCUCUGCUGGGGAUGGGAAAGCUCUACUUCUCAUCAUUUCCCAGCUCAUUGCUUUGCUGUACUGCAGCCUUGGGGCAGCCCCAAAUGGCUGGUCCAGAGGUUUCCACCUUCCAGUGGCGGAUUCUAAUGUUCUUUAUGUGUUUCUCUCUGUUCUUUUCUGCCUGCUUUGGAUCUGCUGUUACUAAUCUGCUGCCGAGUGGCAACUCUGCUUAUCUCACGGUGUUGAGGUGAGACUCACUGUUUUUGGUAUUACUAAUUCAAGGCUACCUGGAGAUUGUCUUUUCUUGUACAGUUCAGCCAGUUCUGGCUAAAAUGUAUACAUUAAAAACUCAUUUAAAACUGAAGAAAAAAAUGAUGAAAAGGUUUUUUUUUUUUUUAAACCAAACUUCCUUAAAGACUACUUUACCAAAACUUUGGUCCACAGCUUUCCUUGGAUUGCGUGUUGGAUGUCUGGGUCAUUUCCAAUUAAGAAAAGUUUAUGCUAUGGGAAACAUGUUUCUAGAAUUGUGGAAGGGUCUUAUCUAUAAAGUGCUAACAUCUGGCAAACAGUGCAGGAUCUCUUGCUUCCUCAGUUUUCCCACUCACGGAUGAGCGAGUGCGCUUAGCUGUCCCUUCCCUUCCCUUCCCGCUCUGGUUUCCUGUAUGCAAUGUGCUCAGCCUUCCAAGCCUUGGGACACACAGGGAUGCUCAUGCUCCUUUAUGUUCCCCUAGGGACUAGGGGUUAGUGGACCUCACCCAGAGGUGUGGGAUCCUUUGGGUUCUGUCUGCUGGGGAGCCUGGAGCCGGGGAUCCUCCAGGUCAGCCACCAUCCUGUUACAUGGGGCUCUUCAGCCUUUCGGGUCCCAGGGCUGCAGUGCCACCCCAGUGGAAAGCCCAUUUGAGACUCAGAGGGAUAUUUGCCAGCAUGUCCUGCUGGGUCUCCCUCGUCCCCUUCAUUGGCUGCAUAUUUGCUGUCUGUGCCUCACUAGUGAUGCCCGUCAUCCUGAGCUUGCAUGCUCUGAAGUUUAUGCCUGCCAUUUUCCUUCUCCUGGUGAUUUUCUUUCUUUGGGUUAUUUAAUUCAGCAUGUCUCUGGGCAGCAUUGGAGGCCAAAAGCCUCCCAGGAACUAGUCUUAUUGAGAAGAAAAAUAAUUUUGUCUAAUUCAGAAGUUAUCUAAAGGUCAAUUCAAAUGAUGAACUUGAAAAUAGUUACUUAUGAAGCAAGGUAGAAAGGAGCCAGUAAGUAGGGGAGCGAGAGAUGUGAAUAAAAGUUAUGGAUAUGAAGAUGUAUUUUUGGUAAGGAAGGUUAUAAAGAAUAGCAAAUAAUGUAUGAAAAAGGAUCUCGUGUGGUAAAUUUUUGUCCUAAAGUAAAAUGACUAAUGAUUAUUAGUCAUUAGCCAUUAAUAUGACUAUUAUUAUUAGUUAUUAGUCAUUAAUGACUAAAUGAUUAUUUAGGAAAGAGAGAAGGUUAGGGCAAGGCAGAAAGUCCAAGCACAUCUAAGAUGGUCUGUGUACACUGGGAUAAAGUUCGUGAAGGGGAAUUUAUGAAAGGAAUUUUGUAUAUGAUUAAGUUGGUUAUAAUUGAAAGGAAGCCAUUUAUAACAGUCUUUCUAAAAAUUGGUCGCCUACGUUAAAACAAAGUUUUCUUGAGGUACUGAUUUGCUGUGAAUGAAGUUACAAGAAAUUUUACUUUCAAUUUUAUACCCCGUUUCUCUUCUAAACUUCUCAGAUCCAUAUUUCCGACAUUCCAUUUUUUCUGUCUCACUGCUUUCAGCUUUUUCCCCCUUGAGCAGGCCUGAGAUGAUGACCUUCUCCUUCAGCAUUUUUUGUCAGCUCCUGCACCCCUUUUUUCCUCCAGUUUUAACUGUUGGAAUGACCUGAUGCUAAAGUUUUAUCUUGAAGGUCUAGAAAAGCAAUGUUUUCUUCUAGUAUAACUUGAUUUUAUAUUCUUGGCUUUUCUUGCUGUGUCUAAAUUUUCAGUGUAAUCAGAAAACUUCUCAUGCUGUUCCUAAGGGUCACAUAUGCUCAUAACCUUAAACACUGUUCCUGUGUCUGAUUGCAUUCAAGCACUUCUUUCCUCAAGUUUGUCUUCCAGGUUAUCUAAAUGGGCUUCCUGUAAGAAGAAGCGGUCUCACUGCAGAAGGUUUUCCCUGCCUUUUUAUUAGCUGGCUUAAAAAAAAACAAGAUUUUAUGUUUUUUUCACGAUAAUUCCUAUACUGUCUUUAUUAGCUUUAUGAUUGCAAAAAAACUGAAAGUUAAAAGGGUUAAGGUUUUUACCUCCAUGUGACUUUCUCUAUUGCUUGUUAAAGUCUUUAUGAUUAUUACUCUUGGUUAAGUGUAUAACUAUUACAAUGACCUGUGAUUUUAUGUUAAUAAAAUGUUUUGAGCCUUUUAACAUCUUAGAGAAAUAUCCUCAAAAUCAAAAUCUUAAAUUUAGUCUCUGAUUUAGUCUUAUUGCUGGGGCUUAUUAAGCCUAUAGAAAUUAAUCUCUGCAAGGUCAUAGACUCUUUCUAGAACUUUCUGGCAGACCAUGAAGUCCAGUAUCACCACCUCCAGCCUGAAAAUUAUAUAUUGGAAGAAAAAUCAGUUAAAGGAUUCCCUCAGCCCCCUUGAAGCUGUCCUUAUCAAGAGUUAUUAACCAAUGCUUGUGCUUAGUUAAUAACCUGUUGUAGGGCUUUGACUCCUGGACACACAUAUCUAAAGAUGGCACUGACUUCUACCAGUAUCUGACAAAAACUCAAGUUAACUGAAGGCUCGUCUUUAGACCUGGGCAAAGGGGACAACGUAAACUGCUUUCAUGAGACACAAGGACAGGUCUGUAUUCCAAAACAUUAUGAUUCAUUUCAUAAUUUUGCCUUUAUCUGAAAUAAUAUAAUUUGUUCUAUGUCUAUGUGGAAGGAAAAUAUCUUGGGCCCCCAGAAUCACUAAGGUAGAGGGAAAAUUCAAGCUGGGAACUGCUCAGGGCAAACCUGCCUCAUAGUCAUCCCUCUGCUUGUAUUCAUAGUCAUCCCUCUGCUCACUGAGAUAAAUGCAUAUCUGAUUACCUGCUUUGGAAAGGCUAAUCAGAAACUCAAAAGAAUGCACUGUUUGUCUCUCACCUGCCUGUGACCCGGAAACCCCCUCCCUGCUUUGAGUUGUCCCACCUUUCCAGACGGAACCAGCAUGACUCCCUAAAAUGCAGAAAACCAAACUGUGCUCUGACCACCUUGGGCAUAUGUCAUCAGGACCUCCUAAGUCUGUGUCAUGGGCGUGUGUCCUCAACCUUGACAAAUUAAACUUUCUAAAUUAACUGGGACCUGUCUCAAAUUUUCUGGGUUCAUAUUUGGUAACCAUGGGGGGAUUCUGAGUGGAGGUGCCCCUGAGCUUUGACAAAUCUUGUAUUGAUGCUUGGUACAUCAUGAACUAAUUUAUUGCUCAAAUCAAUAGGACAAUUUGCUGAGGUCUGCGAGCUGCCCCUCCAGAGAAUCCCUGCUCUCCCAAAAUUUGGUCAAGAUCUCAAGUUUAUUUUGGUGUACAACUCCUUUAUUUUGGAGUUUUACUUUCUUCCAACAAGGAAGGGAAGUUUUCCUGCUUCCGUGAUAAUGGAAGGCAGGUAACUCCUUUAUGGAGUUUGAGCUCACUUCCAACAGCGAAGAUGAGAUUUUUCCUGCUUCUAGGAUGGUGGAGAGCAGUCUUCAGCCUGAGACCCAUCCCUGGGUAAGUAACUGAAUUGGGGUUUGUCUUGGCUAAAGUUAAAGUUAACAACCAGCUGGUCUUAAUUUCUUUUUACCAUUAGAGUGUUCAGUGAUCAUGUAAGUUGUGCCAUUGUUUGUUUUGCUUAAGGGUUUUUUUUUUUUUUUUGGUGUUUGUUUGUUUCUGUUUUUCCUACUGUUUCUCUUGUUGUUUCAGUCUUUUGCCCAUUGGGUUUAAUCAACUCUAUCCAACUUGAUCAACUCUGAAGGGAAGUUCCAAAUUAUGGGGAACAAGGCCUCUGAAGUGACUAAAUUCCACCCCCCGCCUCCCCUCCACACACACACACAAAAGGUGGUAUGGUUGGGGGAGAAAAACAGCCAGCAAAAGGAGAAAAAAAGGAAAGAUUUUUGAUUUUGACUACUAAAGGGGUUUUAUUUACAGAACAAGGCCACUUUUUUGCUAGCAGGCCAAACUGAAACAAUGGCAGUUGCCCCACGCUGUAGUUCCAUACCUAAGGCUCUGCUUUCUUUUCACCAUGAGAGCCUGGGUUUGGUGGGUUUGGUUCCUAAAUCAAGCCCUUUCUGGUUUGAUACUUGGUACCUCUGAAAUAGCAGCAAUUUUUUCUGACUAAAAUACGGUAAUGAAAUUUAAAUGGAUUAUUUUAAAAAGAGCUCAAUGGUUAAAAGUCAGUUUAAUUAAAAGGCUAACAUCCAAGAUGUACGUGUGUGUGUGUGUGUGUGUGUGCGUGCACGCAUAUGUGUAUGUUUGUCUUUGAAAGGUCUUCAUGUGUUUGUUUUUUGGUUGUUUUUCUCCUCUAGGACCUUGCCUUUUUUUUUUAGCAAAAGUUUUUUUCUUCUCAGUUGACUGAAUUCUGUUAUUACCUGAUUGUUUGACUAAAAUAGAUACUGCACAGAGGCUACUCUGGGGUUUUUAAGGAAGAGUGUAGUUUAGACACUUAAAAAUGUCUUUGUUUAAAACUAUUUUUUAAGUGCACUGUAAAAGCAUCACGUUGUCUAGCCUCAUAAUAAUUCACCCUUUUUGGAGACCCAGGAUUCAGUGUGGGCUCUACCCAGAGCUCAGAUAUCUGGUUAAAAAAAGAAAAACAGGUAGUCUCUAUCUAAAUAAAAUCAGUCUUCCUAUGUAAUCCAACAAUAAAUUUCUGUAAUUUUAUUACUGAGUUGGCAUCCAUCUUUAAUCUUUCUCUAGCACCACCAGACAUUUUCUCUGUGUACCUGAUAAUGUAAAUUUUGCUAUUUGACUUUCACCUGAUAUGCAGAUUUAAGGCUAUUUAGCUGACAACUGUCUAGGGUUCUGAAACAGGUUAUCAAGAAUCUGAAAGUCUAAGAUAUGAAAAAAGAGGUUUUUAUGAAUCUAUAAGAUGUACUUUUAUCAGCAUGCCUAAUAUGUCUGUAUUUAUGUGUUGUGUACACAAUGUUUCACUAUGAAAAAUAUAUAAAAGAGCUCUAAUUAAUUGGCUCAAAGUGAAAUAAUUCAAAAAGCAGCUAUAUUCAUUAAAUCAAUAUCAAUGAUUUAUACUUAAUACGUAAAUACUUUAUCAGGAAAAAAGGAAAGAUUAGUCAAAUGCUUUUUCAAGUUUGCAUAACUUAAGUAAAAUUAUUAAUAAAUGAGCUCGCUUUAAAAUUAUUGGUAAAGUAAUAUUAGAAAUGUCAGCAUACAUUUUUGUUUGCAAUUAUUAAUCAAGCAAUUUCAUACUUACCCCUGCCAAAUAGUAUAAGUUGUCAAAAUUUGGCAGAGGGUUUACAAAACUAUAAACCCGGCCCAAAACAUAAUGAUAUUUGCUUGUGUAAUCUUUAAUAAAUAAGUCAUUGAUAUUGAUUUAAUGAAUAUAGUUGCAUUUUGAAUUUAGUAAGAUUAUCAUAACUUCUAAUUCUGUGGCUUUAGGCAGUCUAGUGCACAGGCAGUAAGGAAGUUUGUUUUGAGAAAGGACUGUUAUAGUGUUUGUUUCAAAGCUAAACUAUAAACUAAGUUCCUCCCAAAGUCCAGGAAUGAACAAGGACAGCCUGGAGGUUAGAAGCAAGUUGGAGUUAGUUAGUCAAAUCUUUUUUCCCUAUCUCAGUUAUAAUUUUGCAGUGAUGGUUUCAUAACUUUAAAUCAUGACUAUCACAGUUUUCAUAAACAAUCUAGGUAAACAAGGUAAUUAGGUAAAUGUAAUGUGAUACAUACUUGUAGACAAAUUUGUCAUAAUUUAGAAUAGAAAGUUAUAUUAA